rnacentral:rRNA from 1 species
UACGAGGGGGGCAAGCGUUGUUCGGAAUUACUGGGCGUAAAGGGCCAGUAGGCGGCCAACUAAGUCGGAUGUGAAAUCCCCAGGCUUAACCUGGGAACUGCAUCCGAUACUGGAUGGCUUGAAUUCGGGAGAGGGAUGCAGAAUUCCAGGUGUAGCGGUGAAAUGCGUAGAUAUCUGGAGGAAUACCGGUGGCGAAGGCGGCAUCCUGGACCGACAUUGACGCUGAACGGCGAAAGCUAGGGGAGCAAACGGG